rnacentral:misc_RNA from 1 species
GGGAUAUAGUGUUUUUCUUUGCGCAGACUCUUCUGCUUCUUCCCCCUCCUGACUCCUUCCACACUCACGCUCCGCCUUUCUAUCUAGGCCAUCUGUAGUAGUAGUAUAGCAGCUAGUAGCUUCUCCAUCACCGCCGGCGAUUCGUGUAGCCGAGCGCCCUUCCUCUGCCUUCUGCAGUUUCCUCUGCUUCUAUGGGCCAAGCGCGGCUCACACACACGCACACACACACACACACAUGUAUGCAUAUAUAUAUAUAUAUAUAUCCAGAUACACGUACCCGACGGCGCGUAGCUAGCAAUGCUCCGUUUCACUGUACCUGCCUUGGUCGUCUUCCAGAACGCGUAUGCGCCGCGCGUGCUAAACAGGAUGACACCUGACCGCAUGGAGCUGACGAUGCUAAUCCUGAAGGAGCGCAAGAAGAAGGUGCGCUACCUUGGCAGCAACUUCCAGGGCUUCAAUGAUCGUGUGCACUUGUUUAACGCACAGGGUGGCGUGCGUCGUGGUACCCGCUACAUCAUCGAAACCCACCACAAUCGUAUUCAGUUUAAGCACCGAUCACGCAACAACAGCAUGGUCGACGUUCGCGCCGUGAAAAUGGCGGGCUCACAGUACGAUUCCAUGGGCAACUAUACCCGCAUGACGUGGGACAAUUCUCUGUGCACGACAAACCUGCUGAGUGACCCUAACUUCAAGCGCCACUUCAAAAACAUGCCCAAGGAAGAGACUAUCGGGGUGCUGGAGGAGUGGGGCGUACGCUACAUCUUGCUGGACGAGAUUCGAAAGCCGUCCUUGAUGGACUGCAAGUACCACAAGCACCACCUGUACGCCGACAAGUUCUGGUGGUCGCCAUCCCCAGAGACCAACCACAUGCGCGGUGAUGCCGAGUUUAAGUGGAAGGGCAACGAGCUGAUAGCGUACGGCGACUACAACGCGCACAUGCCGCACCCCGCCAAUUUCGUUAUUAGUAGCAGCGGUGGCAGCAGCGGUGGUGGUGCGGCCACCUCAAAAUCGGCGGCGGCAGCAGCAGGCUCUAAGAAGGGUGCGUCGGCAAGACCGUGGUUUAGGCGCACUGUUGUGGUGAGGAAGCCGCAGGCAAGCGACACCAAGGUCCCCUCCACUGCAAGUAAGAUUGCGGCUGCAGGGACGUCCAAGUAGGAGCGCGUGCCUGUCUUUCGGCUCCAACGCUCAAAAGGAGGCCACACUUUGGGAGACUGUACAUGUUGCUGACUUUCCCGCGCCCGACGGCUUUGUGCUGCAGCGCACCGCGCUUUUCUUUCUGUCCCCCUCCUUCCCCCCUCCUGCUCCUCUUCCUCUAUGCCGUAGGCUCUCUUUUCUCUGUGACUCGCCGACAUGUGCAUGCGCACAUUUUACUUCAAGGAUGCGUGAGCGGUGCGUGCGUGCAAAGACGACAUGAGCAGACUCGAGGAAAGGAUGACAGGAGCUGACGUAUGCGGGAGAGGUGAGGAUGGGGCGGGCAGUGCCAGAAUGACCGUGAAAUAGCCUGAGAGGGAGGGGGCGUAAAGGAGUCGGCUGAGGAAAGCAGAGAGGAGAGAGCGCGCGGGAGCGAAGGGCAGUAGACGGAUGUACGGCGAGCGGGGCGGGUCGUGGUGGCCGUAUCAUUGGAGAGGAGAGGAGCGGUGGGGGACGACUCGAUGCGUGCGGCCUCACAUGAGCAGCUUCCCCCCCCCCCCCCCCCCAUCCGCCUUCGCCGUCUUGCUCUACAUCACCUACGCCCUGGUGCUCUUUCUUCGCGGACACUGCGCGCCCCCUUCUCCCCCGGAUUGAUUUCAUGCACGCUCAGGCUACUGUGGCAGCGGGGCACAGCUACCCCGACCUCUCUUUCCCUCUCCUCUUUGUGGUUCCUGGCGUGCGGCGCGUCUCUGCAGCGCUUCCGCCCUAUCUAUCCGCACCCUUUAUCCAUCUGCGUCUCUCUCUCUUCCUGCCGUGCUGUCUGUCGGUAUGCGUGCCUGGCGCAG